rnacentral:ncRNA from 2 species
AUUGGCGGCUGGCGGAGCUCGCGAGAGCUGAGAGUGGGCCGGAAUGAAGGCCCAGACGCCACGAACCUGAUCCGGGUAAUGCCGGCGGAGGGAAGCAUGAGCACCUCUAC